AUUACUUGGGGAUCUUGUUAAAAUGCAGAUUCUCAUGUGGGGUGGGGCCAAGAUUUUGCAUUUCUAACAAGUUCCCAGAUAAUG
rnacentral:miRNA from 1 species